rnacentral:piRNA from 1 species
UUAAGCUGGUUGCCAUUAACCUGUGGAGGGAU